AUUGAACGCUGGCGGCAGGCCUAACACAUGCAAGUCGAACGAGCGGCGGACGGGUGAGUAAUGCAUGGGAAACUGCCUGAUGGAGGGGGAUAACUACUGGAAACGGUAGCUAAUACCGCAUACCAUCGGAUGUGCCAAGAUGGGAUUAGCUAGUGGGUGGGGUAACGGCUCACCUAGGCGACGAUCCCUAGCUGGGCUGAGAGGAGGACCAGCCACACUGUGACUGAGACACGGGCCGAACUCCUACGGGAGGCAGCAGUGGGGAAUAUUGGACAAUGGGCGCAAGCCUGAUGCAGCCAUGCCGCGUGUGGGAUGAAGGCCUUCGGAUUGUAAAGCACUUUCGGCAGGGAGGCGUUACCCGCAGAAUAAGCACCGGCUAACUCCGUGCCAGCAGCCGCGGUAAUUC
rnacentral:rRNA from 1 species